UAAUGAAUGAAGAGUCCCACAAUAGGACGAAACGGCCGUCCAAUGC
rnacentral:hammerhead_ribozyme from 1 species